ACUUCUUUUCUUAUUGAACACAGGGGGAACAGUAUCUGAAACUGGUAUUCUAGCUGCCAGGAUGCGUUCUGCCUGCUAUAAUGGACAAAUUUAGUGAUAGAAACCUGAAAAUCACAGAGAACCUAUCUGUUGCUGGGAAACAAUUCACCGGUAUCAGUUUGAUGGAGGUGUGAACUUCCUUUCUUAUUAACACAAGGGAAACAGUAUCUGACGGUGACAAAUCGAACUGUCGGGAUGCAGUCCCCUGCCAUAAUAGACAAAUUUGGUGACAGAAGGCUUACAGUCACAGGACUUACCUGUUAUGUGGAAAUAAGUCAGUAGUAUCAAUUUGAUAGUUGUGUGAACAGUUUUUCUCAAUUGCUUACUUACUAAUACUGGAACUUGAGACCCAAUGACCAAAACCUGAAACUCAUGUACCUUAUCUUACACCAAUUCAGCACAAAUACACAUUUACCGCUUUUUGCUCAUUUCGUGGUUCUAAACCACACUUCUUGCAAACACACUGCACACAGCUCUCUAUAUUUGGGACAAUCUUCACUGAUAAAAUCUCUUGUGUUCACAUGGAAAACACUGCCAUCCAGAAUGCUAAACUCAAACCACUAGUCACACCUCAUAUGGGCAAACAUCUGUUGCUUUUCAAUUAGCAGCCAUAGCCUCAGCAAUAAAAGGGCCAAAGGUGAGCUCUCCUGUGUUGGAGAAUAAUGGAUGCCAACAUUGCAGAGAGAGGUAGAGCGAGAGAAGUGAGAGUCAAAGGAGGAGGACCUGGGAGAGCAAUUGCCUCUGAUAAGAUUUGGACCACUUUGUCCAUGACUGACCAGGUGGUGCUCAGUGUUAGCUUGUUAUUCAACACCUGUUCCAAAUACCUUCAUGUUGUAUCUAUUUGAAAUUUAGCUCCUUGCUGUAUAAAAUGAGAUAGUUGACUAUAUGUAAGUUAGCUUAUGUUGUGCUUUUGUCUGACCCAGUGGUACGACAAAUCAUAGUUAUAUAGAUUUCUAAGUCUCUUUAAUGUGUUGAUUUGACAAGCCUUUAGAGGAUAGUGUUGUUUGUUCUGCAUUUCAAUGUGAUAACAAUGUCACUUUGUCAUCCGAUGCUGCUUUGGUCUACAUCUGUGUGCUGUCAUUCUGGCUCAUAUGGUUGAGGAGAAAUACUGUUCCUAGACUUGUUCAACUCCUGGCCGUUGUUUCUAUCUGAGGGCUGUGCACUGAUCUUUAGGGUUUUUCAACACUUGACCUUGUCCUACUGUGAAACUACCUACGAAUGAAGCAGGUCUACAGGGUGCCGUUCAUGAGAAACUCAGAAAGAUGACUGUGACUAUGUGCAAAGAGUUCUUGAACUAGAUGCAGCUGCAGCUCCCUCAACCUCACUAAAAGGCAGCAACAGGGAAGGAACGUCAUCAGCCAGUGUGC